CUCUCUGCCCCUCCCCUGCUUUGUCUCUUUCUCAAAAAUAAAUAAAAACAUUAGAAGAAUUUUUGAAGAGCAGCUAUGUUCAGAGUGCCAGAAAGCUGUCUCGAGCUUUGCCGUGGUAUAGUUUUUUCCACAUUGAUGAGACACUCUGCCCAGCCACCGCCUCUGACCGUGCUUCCUGUAUCCAAAGUCAUGGCCAGUAGAGCAUCCGCGUUCAGGUGGUGGUUAGGAGGAGGGCAUUUCCCUAGACCACCAAGCCAGGGUUUUGCCCACUUCCCUCCUGCGGGCCUGCCUUGGGAAUUCCUGGACGGUCUGCGGGCCACCGACCGGUGACUUGUAGUAACUCCGAGGCCGGGGGCCGGAGGAGCCCGCCCCAGCUGACCACAUCCUGCCCUGGCCCAGGGCAUUCUGGGAGCUCUGCUGUUGGGCCCCGGCAACCGGUCCAGCCUGGGAGGGGAGUCUCCCUCCCUCUGCCCCAAGGGGGAGUGCGGACCGGGGCCAGAGGGUGCCUGCAUCUUCCUGGGAGCCACCCAGGGUCCUGUCACCAGAACCACACAGCCGUGUACCCACCUGUCCCCUUCACUCGGCCUGUUCCUCCUUGGAAUGCUUUUACCCAUAACGCACCUCAGGGCCAACACUUUUACCUAAUUACCUAAUUAGGACAGCUGAGCCCUGGCCUGUCACAUUCCUGCCAAGGAGAGGACGAUGGCCGGGCCCGGGAGCCAACGUGGUGCUGAGCUCUGUCCCCGCUCUGGGAGAAGGUCUCGAGAGCAGGAUCUGCCACCAGGCUCACCUGCUGCCUGACACCAGCCAGUGGAACACGCCUCGUAGCUCUCUGGAUGUCGACAGAUAAUGUACCUGUUUAUAGAGAGCAGCCGACCGGAAGCACAAGUCACCAUGUCUGUGAGCCUCCCGGUGAGCGACCACAGCAUUGUCCACGCCUGCCAGGCCACCUGCCGACCCUGCGGCUCAGAGGUGUUUUUGCAGGUAGCUCCCCAAGACAGUUUGAAUUCUUGCUGCGUCUGAGAAGAACAUCUCUGUGACUCCCUCGGACAUGGUGGUCAGUUUGGCUGGGUAUAGAAUUCCAGGCUCCAUUCCAGAAACUGUUUUCUGGAGUGGCUGCACCAGUUACAUUCCCACCAGAGUGACUCAGUUUCUCUGCACCUUUGCCUUCACCAGCUUUCGUUCUCCAAGGUCAUCUUACAAACAUUUUUGGUCCACGCAUAUGUUUUUGUUUUUGGAUAUCCAGUCGCUGCUGCCUCAUGUGUUGAAAAGACAAUUCCUCCUUCACUGAAUUGCUUUUGCAAAUAUCUGUCAAAUAUCAAUUAACCAUUCCAUGUGGGGCUAUUUCUGGGUUCUCUGUUCUAUUGAUUCACAUGUCUUUCCUUCUGCCAACACCAUGGUCUCGAUUAAUGUAAUUAUAUAGUAAGUCUUGAAAUCUGGUACAGUGACUCCUCCCAUUUUAUUCUUUGUUUCCAGAAUUGUGUUAGCAAUCUUAAUUCCUUUGCUUUUCCGUAUAAACAGAAUAAUUUUGAAUAUUUAGAAUAACUUAGAAUAAUUUUGUUUAUUUCUGCAAAAAAAAAUUUACUGGGGUUUUGUUAGGAAUUGUGUUAAACCUGUAUAUCACUUUUGGAGAAUAGACUCCUUUAUUAUGUUGAGUUUUCUAAUCCAUGAACAUGGUAUGUCUCUCCAUGUAUUGAGAUCUUUGAUUUCUCUCUUCAGUGCUUUGUAGUCUUCAGCUUGUGCCUGUUUUGUCACAUUUGCACCCAAGAAUUUCAUUUUUUUAGUGAUUUUAAGUUGCACUGCAUUUUUAAUUUCAGUUUCCAUCUGUUCAUCGAUAGUAUAGAGAAAAACAAUUGAUUUUUGUAAGUUGAUCUUGUAUCCUGUAGCCUAGUUUAUUAGCUCUAGGAAUUUUUAUUUGUGUAUUUUCAUAGAUUCCUUAGGAUUCUUAGGAGGACCGCCACCAUCAUGCUAUCUGCAAAUGAAGGCACUUUUGUUUCUUCCUUUCUGGUCUGUAUACAUUUUAUUUCCUUUAUUUUCUUUAUCUAGGACUUCCAGGACAAUGUUGAAUACAAGUGGUGAAAGAGGGCAUUUUGUCUUGUUCCUGGUCUUAGAGGAAAACAUUCAGUCUUGCAUCAAGUAUGAUGCCAGCCAUAGAAUUUCUAUAGAUGCCAGAUGCUCUUUUAUCAAGUUGAGGAUUUACUCUACUCCUAGUUUUUUGAGGAUUUUAUCAUAAAUAGAUGUUAAUUUUGCCAAAUAUGUUUUCUCCAUCAAUUGAUAUGAUUAUAUGGUUUUUCUUCUUUAGGCUGUUCAUAUUACAGAUUGUAUUGCUUGAUUUUUGAAUGUUAAACCAACAUUCAUUCCUGUAAUAACCUCAAUUUGGUCAUGGUAAUUGUAACCUCCAUGUAAUGCUGAAUUCUACUUGCUACUAUUUUAUUAGGAAUGUCUGUGUCUAUACUUAUGAGGAAUAUUGGUCUGUGGUUUUCUUCUUCCAUGCCAUCUUUGUCUGGUUUUGGGAUAGGAUAAUUCUUGCUUUGAAAAUGAUUUGGAGGGGUGCCUGGGUGGCUCAGUCGGUUAAGCGCCCGACUUCGGCUCAGGUCACGAUCUCGCGGGGGGUGGGUUUGAGCCCUGCGUCGGGCUC